CUCAUCUAUCUUUAAUAUCAGCUCAUUAAACCACUGGUGAUGUUUAUCCUGGUCCAAGCCGACCUGCUCCAUCACUCCUUCCUGGUUCCUGCAUCCAGCUGGUCCUCCAGUAGGGGUUAGUAGUAAUAAGUGGUACAUCAGCCGCUCCCACUCUGGAAUCCAAAUCAGUGUGAGUGUGAUCAUGUGAGUAGUGUGUGUGUAUUGUGUGUGUGUAGUGUGUGUAGUGUGUGUAUUGUGUGUGUGUAGUGUGUGUGUAGUGUGUGUAGUGUAUGUGUAGUUUGUGUAGUGUGUCUGUAGUGUAUGUGUAGUGUGUGUGUAGUGUGUAUGUAUUAUGUGUAGUGUGUGUAGUGUAUGUAUUGUGUGUAGUGUGUGUAGUGUGUAUGUAGUGUGUGUAGUGUGUGUAGUGUAUAUGUAUUGUGUGUAGUGUGCGUAGUGUAUAUGUAUUGUGUGUAGUGUGUGUGUAGUGUGUGUAGUGUGUAUGUAGUCUGUGCGUAGUGUGUAUGUAGUGUGUAUGUAGUUUGUGUAGUGUGUGUAGUGUGUGUGGUGUGUAUGUAGUGUGUGUAGUGUGUGUGUAGUGCAUGUGUAGUGUAUGUGUAGUGUGUGUAGUGUGUGUGGUGUGUAUGUAGUGUGUGUGUAGUGUGCAUGUAGUGUGUGUAGUGUGUAUGUAGUGUGUGUAGUGUGUGUGUAGUGUGUGUGUAGUGUGUGUAGUGUGUGUGUAGUUUGUGUAGUGUGUGUAGUGUGUGUGUAGUGUGUGUAGUGUGUGUGUAGUGUGUGUAGUGUGUAUGUAGUGUGUGUAGUGUGUGUGUAGUGUGUAUGUAGUGUGUGUAGUGUGUGUGUAGUGUGUGUAGUGUAUAUGUAUUGUGUGUAGUGUGUUUAAUGUAUGUGUAGCUUGUGUAGUGUGUGUAGUGUGUAUGUAGUGUGUGUGUAGUUUGUGUAGUGUGUGUAGUGUGUGUGUAGUGUGUGUGUAGUGUGUGUGUAGUGUGUGUAGUGUGUGUGUAGUGUGUAUGUAGUGUGUGUAGUGUGUAUGUAGUGUGUGUAGUGUGUGUGUAGUGUGUAUGUAGUGUGUGUAGUGUGUGUGUAGUGUGCAUGUAGUGUGUGUAGUGUGUGUGUAGUGUGUGUAGUGUGUGUGUAGUGUGUAUGUAGUGUGUGUAGUGUGUGUGUAGUGUGUAUGUAGUGUGUGUAGUGUGUAUGUAGUGUGUGUAGUGUGUGUGUAGUGUGUAUGUAGUGUGUAUGUAGUGUGUGUGUAGUGUGUAUGUAGUGUGUGUAGUGUGUAUGUAGUGUGUGUAGUGUGUGUAGUGUGUGUGUAGUGUGCAUGUAGUGUGUGUAGUGUGUGUGUAGUGUGUGUAGUGUAUAUGUAUUGUGUGUAGUGUGUUUAAUGUAUGUGUAGCUUGUGUAGUGUGUGUAGUUUUGUAUGUAGUGUGUGUGUAGUGUGUAUGUAGUGUGUGUGUAGUGUGUGUAGUGUGUGUGUAGUGUGUAUGUAGUGUGUGUUGUGUAUGUAGUGUGUGUAGUGUGUGUAGUGUGUGUGUAGUGUGUAUGUAGUGUGUAGUGUGUGUGUAGUGUGUAUGUAGUGUGUAGUGUGUGUGUAGUGUGUAUGUAGUGUGUGUAGUGUGUGUAGUGUAUAUGUACUGUGUGUAGUGUGUUUAGUGUAGGUGUAGUUUGUGUAGUGUGUGUAGUGUGUGUGUAGUGUGUGUAGUUGUGUGUAGUGUGUAUGUAGUGUGUGUGUAGUGUGUAUGUAGUGUGUGUGUAGUGUGUGUGUAGUGUGUGUGUAGUGUGUAUGUAGUGUGUGUGUGUGUAUGUAGUGUGUGUGUAGUGUGUGUGUAGUGUGUGUGUAGUGUGUGUGUAGUGUGUGUAGUGUGUGUGUAGUGUGUAUGUAGUGUGUGUGUAGUGUGUAUGUAGUGUGUGUAGUGUGUGUGUAGUGUGUAUGUAGUGUGUGUAGUGUGUGUGUAGUGUGUAUGUAGUGUGUGUGUUGUG
ensembl:lncRNA